ACGGGUGAGUAAUGCACAGGAAUUUACCUCAAAGCGGGGGAUAACCCGGGGAAACUCGGGCUAAUACCGCAUGUUCUCUACGGAGCAAAGAAGGGGAUCUUACGACCUUUCACUUUGAGAAAAGCCUGUGUCGGAUUAGCUUGUUGGUGGGGUAAUGGCCUACCAAGGCGACGAUCCGUAGCUGGUCUGAGAGGACGAACAGCCACACUGGGACUGAGACACGGCCCAGACUCCUACGGGAGGCAGCAGUGGGGAAUAUUGGACAAUGGGCGAAAGCCUGAUCCAGCAAUGCCGCGUGUGUGAAGAAGGCCUUCGGGUUGUAAAGCACUUUUAGUGGGGAAGAAACAGCUUUGGCUAAUAUCCAAAGAAACUGACGGUACCCAAAGAAUAAGCACCGGCUAACUCUGUGCCAGCAGCCGCGGUAAGACAGAGGGUGCAAGCGUUAAUCGGAAUUACUGGGCGUAAAGAGCUCGUAGGUGGUUUAUUAAGUCGGAUGUUAAAGCCCUGGGCUUAACCUAGGAAUGUCAUUCGAUACUAAUAGACUAGAGGUGGAUAGAGGAAGGUGGAAUUUCCGGUGU
rnacentral:rRNA from 1 species